rnacentral:rRNA from 1 species
AGUGAACGCUGGCGGUAGGCCUAACACAUGCAAGUCGAACGGCAGCACAGUAGGAGCUUGCUAUUACUGGUGGCGAGUGGCGGACUGGUUCGGAAUACAUCGGAAUCUACUUUUUCGUGGGGGAUAACGUAGGGAAACUUACGCUACUACCUCAUACGACCUACGGGUGAAAGCAGGGGCUCUUCGGACCUUGCGCGAUUGAAUGAGCCGAUGUCGGAUUAGGUAGGUGGCGGGGUAAAGGCCCACCUAGGCGACGAUCCGUAGCUGGUCUGAGAGGAUGAUACGCCACAAGGGGAACGAGACAAGGCCCCGAAUCCUAAGGGAGGGAGCAGGGGGGAAUUUUGGAAAAAGGGGGAAAGCCUGAACCAGCCAAUACGCGGGGGGGAAGAAGGGCUUUGGGGUUGAAAAGGCCUUUGGUUGGAAAGAAAAGCCGACGGGUAAAAAACAGGGGUUAUGAAGGUAACGCAAGAAUAAGAACCGGAUAAAUUCGUG